rnacentral:rRNA from 1 species
GAUGAACGCUGGCGGCGUGCUUAACACAUGCCAGUCGAACGGAAAGGCCCAAGCUUGCUUGGGUACUCGAGUGGCGAACGGGUGAGUAACACGUGGGUGAUCUGCCCUGCACUUCGGGAUAAGCCUGGGAAACUGGGUCUAAUACCGGAUAGGACCACAUUUUGGAUGGUGUGGUGGAGAGUUUUUCGGGUGGGGGUGAACUCGCGGCCUAUCAGCUUGUUGGUGGGGUAAUGGCCUACCAAGGCGGCGACGGGUAGCCGGCCUGGGAGGGGUUAUGGCCACAUGGGGCUUGGGAAAGGGCCCGGAUUCCAACGGGAGGCGGCGGGGGGAAAUAUGGCCCAAGGGGGGGAGGCCGAUGGCAGCAAGGCCGGGGGGGGAUGAACGGCUUCGGGUUGGAAACCCUCUUCGCUCGGGAAGAAGCGUUAUGUGACGGUACCUGGAGAAGAAGCACCGGCUAACUACGUG